UACGGAGGGUGCAAGCGUUAUCCGGAUUCACUGGGUUUAAAGGGUGCGUAGGCGGGCCUUUAAGUCAGUGGUGAAAUACCUGAGCUUAACUUGGGAACUGCCAUUGAUACUAUUUGUCUUGAAUGUCGUGGAGGUUAGCGGAAUAUGUCAUGUAGCGGUGAAAUGCUUAGAUAUGACAUAGAACACCUAUUGCGAAGGCAGCUAACUACGCGAAUAUUGACGCUGAGGCACGAAAGCGUGGGGAUCAAACAGG
rnacentral:rRNA from 1 species